GAGAACAGACCGCCGGACCAGUCCGCUGGUCAGGCAAGGGUGAAACGGUGGGGUAAGAGCCCACCGCGCGACCGGCAACGGAAGCGGCACGGCAAACCCCACCGGGAGCAAGACCAAAUAGGGGCGGCACGCCGGGCAACCGGCAGCGGCGUUUCCGCGUCGUCGCCCGGGUCGGUCGCGUGAGGUGCUCGGUAACGGGCAUCCCAGAGGAAUGGCCAUCCAUCGCCCUCGGGCGAGGACAGAACCCGGCUUACAGGCCGUCUGACCCU
rnacentral:RNase_P_RNA from 1 species